CCGAUGGCCGCUCUGACACGGCCACCAUCAAGGUGGUGGUUGACGACAUCGAUAACAAGCAGCCUGACUUUGAUGAGAUGAGCUACAGCACUGAGGUGGUCGACCCGGAGGCGCUGGGGCCGUUGAACGUCACCAUUCACGCGACCGAUCCGGACGCGCCCCACACUCUGAAAUACACAAUGCAAGAUCCUUCGGGAGCCGGCUGGGACAGCUUCUUCACGCUGAAUCCGGAUACCGCCGAGUUCAGCCUAACCCAGUCGCUUA